rnacentral:rRNA from 1 species
AACGAACGCUGGCGGCAUGCCUAACACAUGCAAGUCGAACGAGACCUUCGGGUCUAGUGGCGCACGGGUGCGUAACGCGUGGGAACCUGCCCUUAGGUUCGGAAUAACUCCCCGAAAGGGGUGCUAAUACCGGAUAAUGUCUUCGGACCAAAGAUUUAUCGCCUUUGGAUGGGCCCGCGUUGGAUUAGCUAGUUGGUAGGGUAAAAGCCUACCAAGGCGACGAUCCCUAGCUGGUCUGAGAGGAUGGUCAGCCACACUGGGACUGAGACACGGCCCAGACUCCUACGGGAGGCAGCAGUGGGGAAUAUUGGACAAUGGGCGAAAGCCUGAUCCAGCAAUGCCGCGUGAGUGAUGAAGGCCUUAGGGUUGUAAAGCUCUUUUACCCGGGAUGAUAAUGACAGUACCGGGAGAAUAAGCGCCGGCUAACUCCGUG